rnacentral:rRNA from 1 species
UACAGAGGUCUCAAGCGUUGUUCGGAUUCAUUGGGCGUAAAGGGUGCGUAGGUGGCGCGGUAAGUCGGGUGUGAAAUCUCGGGGCUUAACUCCGAAACUGCAUUCGAUACUGCCGUGCUUGAGGACUGGAGAGGAGACUGGAAUUUACGGUGUAGCAGUGAAAUGCGUAGAUAUCGUAAGGAAGACCAGUGGCGAAGGCGGGUCUCUGGACAGUUCCUGACGCUGAGGCACGAAGGUCAGGGGAGCAAACGGG